UACGAAGGGGGCUAGCGUUGCUCGGAAUCACUGGGCGUAAAGGGUGCGUAGGCGGGUCUUUAAGUCAGGGGGGAAAUCCCGGGGCUCAACCUCGGAACUGCCUUUGAUACUGCAAGUCUCGAGUCCGAUAGAGGUGAGUGGAAUUCCUAGUGUAGAGGUGAAAUUCGUAGAUAUUAGGAAGAACACCAGUGGCGAAGGCGGCUCACUGGAUCGGUACUGACGCUGAGGUGCGAAAGCGUGGGGAGCAAACAGG
rnacentral:rRNA from 1 species